AGUAAUUAAAGGUCGAAUUCGGCUCUUGGGGCGUUGUGUAGCUGCGGCCGGCGGUCGUGUCGUAGAACGACGACUGCGAGGUUCUCUUGGAGACCACCUCGCCGCUCCUGAGACCCUCUCCCAGCCGCGUCAUCGCCUUCCACGGCGUUAUCCUCUCCCGCGACCCUCUACUCUCCUCUUGAUUUCCUGCAAUCCGAUUUCCUCCGGCCUUUCUGUCUGCCGAGUAGAGAGAAGGCCGGAACUUUCAGUGCAGGAGCUUGCGCUGACGCCAUUUAAGUUUAGGGGAAUAUUAGAAGUACUUCUUGUAUCGCACUAAGAGCAUGCUAAGUAUGACAUGGAAAGAUAAAAGACCUUAGGAAGUACAAGGUAAAAGUGUCCAGAAGGGUGAGCAGAAUGAGAAAAUUAAUUUUGCAUUGGGGAAGGAACCUUUUUCGACGUCAUUGCUAUAGAAACAAGAAUUUAGUUUCCUCCUCUCCGAUGCCUGUUUUCGUAUCCAAUGUGUUGCUCCUGAUGACUUCUAGAGGAUACUCUACCGAAUCAAGUUCUGAGCUUCCACUUGACCUCCUCAGAAUCAUGAAACAGAGAAUAAUAGCAAUUGAACAGAAAAACUCCUACCUUCAACAACAAAUUAACCAGGAAGUAGUAUCAGUAGCUGAUUAUUCAAGAGCUAAUAAAGAGCUACGGGAACUUGAGAGCUCAAUGGAAUUAAUAAAACGGCUUAGAUCCAUAGAAAAGGUUUUCUCUAAAAUUUUGACUUGUUGCAUGUGUGUUAUGAGAGUUGCUAACAUUAUUGAACUCAACUUGAUCACUGUUUCUUGAUCCUUAUUAUUUUUUUUCACAUCCGGACACAUCAUUCAAAAGCCACAUGAACAGUGUAUAAUAAAACUACAUAGAGACAGAACAUCUGCAUAAUGUUUCUGCAAACCUCAUUCUGCAUACUUUUAAGUUAUGCACAAAUUUUCAAAGUGGUACGAUUUAGAAAACAUCAGCAAUCCUAGCAUACAAAUUUGUUGAAUAGAUUAUAUACAAUUAUGACUCUGUUUACAAUUUCAUUUAAACUUGAAACUGACAAAUACAAAAAAAUUCCCUAACCUCUGUGCCAACAUGUUAUUGUAUGUUUCUAACUCUUUGAUCUUUCAUAUGGUCAUUAAAUUAUCAGUUUAUAAUUGAUUGGUUGUUCAUAAUUACUAACCAGUAACCACCCUUAUCCUUCAAUAUUUAUCCACCAACCACUUCACCUUCCUAUUUCAACAAUUCUAAAAUAACCUGAUUAUUUUCUCGACUAAUGGGUACCUAUGGUCAUUUUUGCUUUUUCUAUAAUGUUUUUUUUUAAAUUUUUUUAUUAUCAUGUUACCGACCAUUUCUACAUGUGGUGUAAAGCAUUCUGAAUUUGAGAAAUUGACAAAUUUAUCCUGGUUAAUUUUUUUUUUGUCUUUGUUGAAAAUACAAUUAAAAUUCUGAAACAAUAUGAUUAUAUUUACACUUUCUUAAGUCUGUUUUCUUUUAAUGGAGAUUAUUUUCUUAUUCAUUUAUACUUUUAUAACUGAUUAUAUAAUCAUGUAAAUGGAAAAUACUUUAAUAUAAUGCAAAAGAUUAUUUGAUUUUUUUUUCACAUUUACUCAUCAUUAGCGCAUAGGAGAGACUGAGAAGAGCACAGGAAGAAGGCCAAGGGAAAAAAAAGCAAGAUGUUAGUCCUAGCAUAACUCCACUUAAUAUUAAUAUCUAAAGCAUAGAAAUAGCCAUCCUUUUUAUCCAAUGUUUCCACACAUGUAUCCCACAUGAAUAGACAGCAAAUUUAAAUGAAUUUGCUUUUAUGUUUCUUGUACAAGAGAAUGUACUCCUCAAGUUUCCUUUUUCAAGCGGCUGUAUUCACAUUUACCCAUCACACUCAAUCAAUAAAGUUCAAAUUGCUCAUGAUAAGAUCCUUCUCAUUUUAGAUUUGUAGACUAGGAAUAAUGAUCUGGUUACAGGAGAUUGAUGGUCUUAAAUCAUUGAUGUCUGACUGUGCUGAAGACAAAGACAUGAGCAACAUGGCAGCUGAGGAAUUAGAGCAAGCUCUAGUAGAGGAGAGAAGGUUUCAACAUUUACUGCUCAAGUCAUUGCUUCCUAAGGACGAUGCAGAUGAGAGAGAUUGCAUACUGGAGGUUAGAGCAGGUACUGGCGGCGAAGAAGCUUCAUUAUUUGCAAUGGAUAUAUUCAAAAUGUAUGUGUUCUUUCAAAAAAUAUGCAUGGUCUCACAAUUGAUUCUUAAAUAAAGAUAUGACAGGUAUGAAAAAUAUUCACAGAAGAGAGGUUGGAAUUUUGAUGUUAUUGCCAUAAUGGAAUCUAAUAUUAAAGGAUAUAAGGUAGUUUUCUGUUUUUGACUAGCUCUAACAUAUUUGAUCCACAUUUUGAAUGUUUGAGUAGAUACAUUUGGUCUCUUUUGUUAAAGCUUAGCUGAGAAUUGUUCAACAGGAAGCAAGUGGGACAAUAUCUGGACCUGGUGUAUAUGGUAGAUUGAAAUUUGAGAGUGGGAUCCACAGAGUUCAGGUUUAAGGAUGAUCAUUGAUCGUGUUCCGGUGACAGAGAAAUCUGGACGGGUGCAUACAAGUGCAGUUUCUAUUGCCAUACUUCCUCAAGCUGAUGAGGUCAUUCAUUUCAUAUACCUACUACUGUUGGAUUACCAUCAAAAGUUAAACAUCUUAUGUAAACGAUUCCCAGAACUAUACAAUGAAUGACAUAUUAGGUUGCAUUCAAUUUGCACCAUUUGAGAUCCAAUUUGAGCUCAAGUUCAUUCACAUAUCUUCCAUUAGUAAAUUUAGUUGGAUUCACUCUAAUUAUAUUGGCUACAGUCGUUUAAAAUGUCUCAGUUGAUUGUUCUGCCUUUAUUGCUGAAUUCUCCUUGCUAGUUACAGUUCUCAUUAUAAGUGUUCCAAAUUCAUAAGUUGGUACAUAGUUUUAUCUUCUUUACAAGAUAACUUUUAUUCAUUAAUUUCCAGAUCUUGGUUUGGCUUUAAAUCGUUUAGUAUGGUAAGUUAGGACUUGCUAUAUGUGUCACAGAUUCUGACUUCUUGAAGGUGUGACGUAAAUUGCAACUGUUCAAUCUGCACAACGGAAAGUGGAAAUUGUCAGUGCUAAAUAUGCUCCACUGGUGUGAUAUCUCCAUUGGUAUAUGUGAUCACACUAUGUAUAUUAUAGUUAGGUUAUCAAACCUUAGUUAAAUGCAGAAAGAGCUGAUUCGUCUGAAUUGCUAUCCUCAUCCACUCACAAAACUUCAGAUUAGACCGGUUCAUUCCUUCGAUAUGGCUUCAAUCAUGAAUCAUUCAAAACAACCCCAUUUAGUGUUCCUGAUCUCAAAUAAUUGGCUGCCAUAUUUUUAUUCAUUUGAAGUCUGCUUAGUUUUUCUAAUAGGAAUGCCUUCUCUGAAGUCAGAACUAUUCUUGUUUUAUUUCAUAUACUCUUAAACAUAAUACAUCUAUACAUUGUUGUCUUUUUUCCCCUCUAGGUUGAUGUCCAACUUCGAAAUGAAGACUUGAGGAUUGAUACUUAUCGAUCUGGUGGCGCUGGAGGUCAAUCUGUGAACACCACAGAUAGUGCAGUCAGGGUUACUCAUAUACCAACAGGAAUUGCAGUUGCGAUACAAAAUGAAAGAUCACAACACAAGAAUAAGGCAAAAGCGCUCGAAGUAUUGCGUGCUAGGCUGUAUGAAAUGGAGAGGUCGAGACUUCAUACGAGCAGGUCAAAACUUCGUGCGGAGCAGAUUGGAAGCGGCGAUAGGUCAGAGCGUAUCCGAACCUAUAAUUUCCCUCAAGGUCGAGUCACUGACCACCGAAUUGGGAUAACAAACCAUUCGAUAGAAGAUGUCAUGGAGGGAGAGUGCCUAGACGUGUUCAUCGAUGCUCUUCUCUUGCAAGAGGAAAUGGAUGCCAUUGCCUCAUUCAGCAGUCAGUGAUUGACAAAACAUAUUGGGUUCCUGGAAUGGAUUCAUCCAAGAAUAAGAAACAGCUCGUGGUCAGAAUCGAUAGUCUUCGGUUUUUGUUCGUUGGUGAUUUUGAAACUAGGAGAUUCCUUGCUACUAAAUUCCUUUGGUAUCUAUAAAGAUUCCAUCAUGUUGUUGAAUACC